rnacentral:rRNA from 1 species
GACGAACGCUGGCGGCGUGCUUAACACAUGCAAGUCGAACGGAAAGGCCCUGCUUUUGUGGGGUGCUCGAGUGGCGAGCGGGUGAGUAACACGUGAGUAACCUGCCCUUGACUUUGGGAUAACUUCAGGAAACUGGGGCUAAUACCGGAUAGGAGCUCCUGCUGCAUGGUGGGGGUUGGAAAGUUUCGGCGGUUGGGGAUGGACUCGCGGCUUAUCAGCUUGUUGGUGGGGUAGUGGCUUACCAAGGCUUUGACGGGUAGCCGGCCUGAGAGGGUGACCGGCCACAUUGGGACUGAGAUACGGCCCAGACUCCUACGGGAGGCAGCAGUGGGGAACAUUGCACAAUGGGCGGAAGCCUGAUGCAGCAACGCCGCGUGCGGGAUGACGGCCUUCGGGUUGUAAACCGCUUUCGCCUGUGACGAAGCGUGAGUGACGGUAAUGGGUAAAGAAGCACCGGCUAACUACGUG